rnacentral:rRNA from 1 species
AGAGUUUGAUCCUGGCUCAGAAUGAACGCUGGGGGCAGGCAUAACACAUGCAAGUCGAACGCGUUUCUACUCCUAGAGAACUAGGUUUGAGGGACGAGUGGCGAACGGGUGAGUAAUACACGAGAAUCUACCUUUCAGAUCAGGGAAUCCCGGGGAAUCUUCUUUUCCUGGAGAAUCCUGAAUAGUAAAAGGUAACACCGCUGAAAGAUGAGCUCGUGGAGGAUUAGGUAGUUGGUGGAGUAAAAGCCCACCAAGCCCAAGAUCCUUCGUUGAUCUGAGAGGAUGGUCAACCACACUGGGAUUGAGAGACGGCCCAGACACCUUCGGGCGGCAGCAGUGAGGAAUCUUGGACAAUGGGCGAAAGCCUGAUCCAGCCAUGCCCCAUGGGGGAAGAAGGUUCUUUAGAUCGUAAACCCCUUCUUUCGGAAAGAGAUGAUGACAAGAUCCGGAAAAAUAGUCCCGGCAAACUCCGUGCCAGCAGCCGCGGUAAUACGGGGGGGGCAAGCGUUGUUCGGAAUGAUUGGGCGUAAAGAGCAUGUAGGUGGUUCCAUCUCUAAACCUCUCACCUUUUUUAGGUGAACCCUCUGCCAGCAAUUACAUUUAGCCCCACACCGCUACGCUUUGUAAAAGCGUAGCGGUGUGGGGCUAAAUGUAAUUGCUGGAAAACAGGGGGGAUUGAAAUCCCUGGGGAAACCGAGGGUGGAUAGGUGGAGAAGGAGCUCGAGGAAGGGUGAGGAGAGUGGAAUUCCCGGAGGAGAGGUAAAAUUCGGAGAGCCCGGGAGGAAGACGGAAGGCGAAGGCAAUUCUCUACCUCUUUCCUGACACUGAGAUGCGAAAGCAUGGGGAGCGAAAGGGAUUAGAGACCCCUGUAGUCCAUGCCCUCAACGAUGAGGAUUCAUCCUGAAGGGUCCUCCCAAAAGUUAAUGAAAUGUUCUUGCAAGCCUGCAAGAAGAGAUAGUUGGAUCGACAUAAAUUCAUUUUCACAUCUGUUUCACUAACUGGAGGAGAGGAGCCCCUCGAGGUUUAGCAAACGCGAUAAAUCCUCCGCCUGAGGAGUACGGCCGCAAGGCUAAAACUCAAAGGAAUAGACGGGGGCUCAUACAAGUGGUGGAACAUGUGGUUUAAUUCGAAACAACGCGCAAAACCUUACCAGUCCUUGACAAGACUCUCUCUUCAGAGAAUUCCCUCUCGUUUACCCGGGAGAUGUGAAAAGAGUCACAGGUGUUGCAUGGCUGUCGUCAGCUCGUGUCGUGAGAUGUCUGGUUCAUUCCUUUAACGAGCGCAACCCUUUUGGAGAGUUGUUCCAAAGAAACACUCUCUCCACACUGCCGGUGAUAUACUGGAGGAAGGAGAGGAUCACGUCAAGUCAUCAUGACCCUUAUGGGCUGGGCUACACACGUGUUACAAUGGCGGUUACAAAAGGAAGCAAUGGUGAAAGCCGGAGCAAAUCCAAAAAAGCCGUCUCAGUUCGGAUUGUUCUCUGCAACUCGAGAACAUGAAGUUGGAAUCACUAGUAAUCGUGGAUCAGCACGCCACGGUGAAUCUGUACCUGGGCCUUGUACUCCCCGCCCGUCACGCUCCGGAAAUCGAAUGGGUCGGAAACUAUUCCUCACCUUUAGGGAGAGUUGGUGAAAAAACUCUUGAAAAGAGGGAAGAAAACUCCCCAUAUGGGGAAAAGGGGUGGUCAAGAACUGUUUGGUAACUGGAGCGAAGUCGUAACAAGGUAGCCGUAGGGGAACCUGCGGCUGGAUUGACU